rnacentral:tRNA from 1 species
GAGUGUGGCAUAGUGGUUUGAGUGUUGGACUAUGAAUCUAGAGACCAGGGUUCGAUUCCCUGCUCAGCCA